rnacentral:misc_RNA from 1 species
GUUGCGUCACGGGUCGAACUUUGAUCAUCGACUUAUGAGUGACAAUAUACUCGAUGUCCAAGGCAUUGUGACCCAACAAGUGGGGGGUUUGAUUUGGUUGGGACAAAUCAAACGCUCUGCGGCAGUAGCGAUGAUGAUGUGGUGCGGAUGGAAUUUGUGCCAUGAUUUGACGUUGCUGUUACUUCACGAUGAUUUGGGAACUCAUAUUUUCAUCCGUUGAUGAGAUUUUUCAAUUAGUGUGUCGAUGUCAAGUUGCGUUGCGAUCUUAGUAUUAUGCUUAAACUGAUUUCUUCACGAGGCCUGCACGAUCGGUCCAAUCGUAUCGCAUGUUCUUGUUUGAUUGUUGCUUUAUAAUUGGAUCGUUAGUGUAACCGAUGACAUGAUUUGCAUGGUUAAGCGAUAAACUUUUGUUGCUGACUUGACAUCGUUUCAAUUUUUGAAAAAUGCUGUUGAACGGUGAUCCAUGUGUUUCUAGGUUUGAUGUGUUGUUGUGUGAUCAGUUGAUGUGUUGUUGUGAUGCGUUGUUGAUGAUGACAUUCGUCCCAAUGGGAUGUGGUGUCAUGUCCCUUGUUUAUCCUGGUUUUAAGCUUGUUGAGCUUAAAAUGCUAGGAUUAUCGGUUAGUGACACGGCAUCGCUCCAUUGGUUGAUGAAUGUCGUCCAAUGCGGUGGUGGUGGUUUGGUUUUGUUCUCGCAUCGUUCGGUGCAUUCUGGGGUCAUUUUGGCUGUUAGCGGUUUGCUUGGCGUUUGAGCUUGGUGGGCGGCUAUAGGCUGUGUGUCUUCGGGGAUGUAUAUCGUAAAGGUGCAUGAGUGGUGUUUGGUGUGUUACGGGUGGUUGGCUCUCUGCUUGCGCAACAACUUCCUCCCGGCAUACCUCUUCAGUCUCGUGUCAAUGCUUGUAUGGCAUUGAAUGCUUGAUGGGUUUCUUGUGUUGCAUACCUAAUUGAUGGUAUCGUUUGAUGAAUUGGUUUCCCUUUUCGUCGUGCGUCGCCCAUGUGAUGUGAGAUGAACCUUGAGGCAGCCCUUGUGAUCCACUAUUUUGAUGCAUACGCAUUGAUUUUGUGGCCCAUUGAGUGAUGCUUGGUCUCAUGGAUAUGGAACCUGGUGUGGGCAUGGAAUUUUAAUGGUUCCUUGUGCGCCCAAAUUUAGCUUUUCUAAAACGAUUGUCU